UACAGAGGGUGCGAGCGUUGUUCGGAAUUACUGGGCGUAAAGGGCGCGUAGGCGGGCUGCCGCGUCCGGGGUGAAAUCCUCCCGCUCAACGGGAGAACGGCCUCGGAUACGGGCGGCCUCGAGGGGGGUAGGGGCAUCUGGAACUGUGAGUGGAGCGGUGAAAUGCGUUGAUAUUCACAGGAACUCCGGUGGCGAAGGCGAGGUGCUGGACCCCAUCUGACGCUGAGGCGCGAAAGCCAGGGGAGCGAACGGG
rnacentral:rRNA from 1 species